rnacentral:lncRNA from 1 species
CCAGGUCGUCCUCCUCUGGUACUCCUCUCUUCCGGUGAGUGCAUCCCUUCCCCUGGAUUCAUCCUCUCUUUCUCUCCCCCUUCCUCUAACCUCUAUUUUUUCUCCUCUUGUAGACGUGCAGGGAGGAACAGGCUGCGUAUGAACUCCAUCGUGACGCUACUGACGGUGAUAUCAAUGGACGAGAUGUGCCUCGGCGUCGACGAGCAUGCACUGAGGCGGGAAGUGGAAAAGGAAUACAUCGCCAAGCGAACUCAAUGGUACGAUGCUGGAGGUGGAAGACGUGGCCAACAUGGCGCUGUAUGUCGAGUCGGACGAGGCUAGGUAUGUGACCAUGACUUGGACUUCGAACUAUCCCUGGGAGUUAAGGCUGAACCUUCUACCUGUGUGUUGCAUAACCACGACUAGACAUGUGAAUAUAUCCAAUGCGACCUCACCCAAAAAGCAUCAAGAUAAUUGAUCAACCUGAAACUAUGGAUUUAGUAACCUCUUCGUUCUGUCAGUUUUCUUGAUUAUCUAUGUCUGCCUGCUGCUUAGAUUAAAAGCAUUUGUUUGGCAGUGGCGGAGCGUGGCAAGAAGUGAAGAAACCAAGAGGGGGCCAUUUUUUUAAAAACAAAAUACGCAUUACUAGGAGCAGUGUGAGCUGAUGGUUCAUUCUUUUUCAACACUGCUCACAAACAGAAGUAGACGAGUAUAUGGAGGUGUUAUUUUUCAACCGGAAGUAUAGCUGCUACUCACGUAUGCAAGAACGACAGACAAAUUAUUUCCAGCCAUAAUUCAAGAAAACCAAGACUGUAAUGGAGUAUAGAAUAAAAGCAUGCAAAAUGAGUACUUCGGAGUCAUGCGUUGUGGAUCAAGGCAUUGACACAGCCGACCCGCCGGCAGCGACAUGCCUCGUCGAUCAAAGGCAUUGGCACAGCCAACCGGCCUGCAGCAAUGUCGAGCACGACGGUCACCACGUCGCGGCCUGAGGGACAUUCUCAAUGUGUUGAUCUCGCAGCCGAAGGAGCAGAGACAAUUGGUGCGGCACAAGGUCGCGACCGCGACGACCCUGCAGCCCGCGCACACGAGGUCAAGGGCUCGAUGCAGGACUCAUUGCCGAUACUGGAGGAGGCGCCAUGGCAGCACCAAUAGGUCUUGCAGCAUGCUACACGGUAUUGCUCCGGCCAUCUCUGGCCAUGGAUAUGCCAUCAAUUGCAGGUUUCCUGCUUGCUACGGUGCACUGCAGGUCAUCUUUGUUUCUCAUACCAAUGGUCACACUCACAGCCACCGUGUUGCAGCCCCUUUUGGCCUCCAUGAGGCUCCGCCAGUGUCGUGUCGUAUCAUAGGGAAGGUUGCAUAUACGGACAAUCGCCACAUGCACAACACCAGUCACUGACUUAAACACAUGUCCAGAACUAAUGCCAAACAUGGAUAAAUCCAUAUCUUGAAUCUUAUGUUCUUAAACAGCAACCAUGCAUGUAAGGACAAGCCAUGUAAAUAGGAUUCAGUCAUAUUCUAAUAUGUUUUAUCCUUUUUUAUAAUUGUAAUUUUUUUGAUGUCAAUUAUUCUUUACUGUAGGUAGCUCUCAAACUGCGCAGAGUCAAGAUUGAUGCUAUGGUACCAUUAAUGAUUCCAGCUGAAGAUAUUUGCAACCUGAAGUGUUACACAAGUUUACUAUUGUGCCAAUGUGUCAUCAUGUGUUUCCAUGAUUUUUGCAAACCUUUAAUAUAUCCCCGGGUUCCUUUUCUUCUAUGCUAGAAUUGGUUUGGAAAAACUGUAUGCAACUAUGGCCAUGAAAUUGUAUUAAGAAUUAUGCAAGGAGUGAGUCAUCAUUUCUUGAAUGGGUUUGCAGUUCUAGCUCUUUGUAUACCACACAAUAUUGUGUCAUGUCUUGAUAUUAUUAUAACUUUAAUAUGGUCCAAACACACACAACUUCCUACAGAAAACUUACUAUGAAUUUUCUUUUGGCAACGUUUAUGAAACACAAAUGAAGUAAGAUGCCAGAAAUCAAUUGAAGAAAUUGAUGGAAAUUAGUAGAAAAUUAUCUUUCUAACAUUUCAGUAUUAGCAAACUGAUUCUAAUGAGAAUAGUAGAUUUGUAUACGCCAUACAGUAGGGUGUGGAUUCAUUCCUUAAGGCUGGCUUAUAAUUAUGUUCUAAUUAUAGUUUCUGUGUCAGCCCAUUCUCAUUCAUUGUAUACUUUUAAUGAUAACAGAGCGGCUUCUUUUAUAAAUUCUUAGCUUCUUUUAUAGAUUCUUAGUUACUCAUGUAUGCAGGUCAGCAUCAAGGCUAUGAAGCGAAAGAUCAGACAAAGGUUUUUGCCAUGUUUGUCCUUCAGCUUAGUAACUGUACGUCUAGUUCUUUCCCCUAUUGUAGUCCUUUUAUUUGCACCGUACUUCUUGAAAGAUGAUAACUUGCAAUCAUUAUUGUAGAGUGGCCGUGCUUCUAUUUAUAUUUCUGAAAUAAACUGAAAUUUCAUUUGCAUCUCUAUAACUUCAUUUUGUUAAUAAAAAGGUUUGAUUAAUAAGCAGUGCAAUUACAUGGCUUUAUCCUUAUUUCCCAUUGUAUCAUGUCUCCACUUCUAUCUAACAGGGAUCGUAGCUCUUGCUAUAGUUGUAAGUUGUGAUCUUAAAUGUAUUUUUUUUUGAUAUCGUGAUCCUAAAUGUAAACUUGAUGGUGCUGAAAUUACAAAUGAAUUCUCGGCAGUGCAUGUUGAUAUGGCACUUGUGAAAACUGAAGAUUUGGUACGGAGUCGUAAAACGUGUAAUAUUCUCGGUAAUGCAGAAAAACAAAGAUUGCAUUGCCUUCAACCUUUGUACGUGACAUAUCGUGCCUAUAUCACUACUUGCAUCAUGUCAAUGCAUUCUGUGUUAACAAUUCAUUUUGUUAUUUUCUUUGUAGAUUCAAAAGAUAUAUGGCUGAUUAUAUGGUUGCGUGGCAAGAAUACUGCAAUGAUGAUGAUGGUGUUCUACUGUUCUGGUUCAUGAUGAUGAUGAUAAUGACGACAGAUGCUUUUAGUUGUAGCUAAGUUGUAGGGAUGUUGUUCCUGUUGGAUGAUGUUCGUGUUCCUCAGUUAAGUUUUUGUUAAGUUGUAGGGAUGUUGAUGGAUGCUUUCAGUUUAAGUUUUAAUGUCAAGAAAAUAUUUAGAUUAUGUAUCACAAUUGGAUGAAGUUCCUCAUGUAAUAUCUACUAUUGUAAUCCAGCAGUUCUAUCCAAUAUAUGAUUUCGGAUUUCGUCCUGUGUAUAUUCCUUUUUUUUCCUCACUUGAUAUACAUAAUUAUUACCAUUAUGUGGAACAUUAAUUUAAUAGCUGGGAUUAUAGAUAUUCACAUUAUAUAUGUACUAGUCGCAAAUUCUUGUUACCAAGCAAUGAGAUUUGGAUUCCUGUAUAUUAAG